AGAGUUUGAUCCUGGCUCAGAACGAACGUUGGCGGCGUGGAUUAGGCAUGCAAGUCGAACGAAUCCCAUUUGGGUAACUGAGUGGGGGAAGUGGCGAAAGGGGCAGUAAGGCGUGGGUAACCUACCUCGGGGAUCGGGAUAGCCGUCCUAACGGACGGGUAAUACCGGGCGAUUUGAUGAGGGGGCAUCUCCUUAUCGGGAAAUGAAUUUCGCCUCGAGAGGGGCCCACGUGGUAUUAGCUUGUUGGUGAGGUAAUGGCUCACCAAGGCCAAGAUGCCUAGCAGGUGUGAGAGCACGACCUGCGCCACUGGCACUGAGACACUGGCCAGACUCCUACGGGAGGCUGCAGUCGAGGAUCUUCGGCAAUGGGCGCAAGCCUGACCGAGCGACGCCGCGUGUGCGAUGAAGGCCUUCGGGUUGUAAAGCACUGUCGAGGGGGAGGAAAGCCGUAGGGUUUGACCUAUCCCUGGAGGAAGCACGGGCUAAGUUCGUGCCAGCAGCCGCGGUAAGACGAACCGUGCGAACGUUGUUCGGAAUCACUGGGCUUAAAGGGCGCGUAGGCGGGUGGUCAAGUCGGUGGUGAAAUCCUUCAGCUCAACUGGAGAAUGGCCGCCGAUACUGACUACCUCGAGGAAGGUAGGGGCAUGUGGAACUCAGGGUGGAGCGGUGAAAUGCGUAGAUAUCCUGAGGAACGCCGGUGGCGAAAGCGACGUGCUGGACCUUUUCUGACGCUGACGCGCGAAAGCCAGGGGAGCGAACGGGAUUAGAUACCCCGGUAGUCCUGGCCCUAAACGAUGGGUACUAGAUUGUGGACUUAACAUGGGUUCACAGUCGAAGCAAAGUGUUAAGUACCCCCCCUGGGGAGUAUGGUCCCAAG
rnacentral:rRNA from 1 species